AGGUUCUGAGUUCACAGGUUAUUAGUUCUAGGUCUGGGAGGAAUUAGGAUAUUGAUUUGUUCAGUUGACUCUAAGAUGUGUAGUUCCUGGAGCACCUUGUGUGCAGCCAUCAACACAAUUUCCUCACAUGGCUAAGGAAAGUGGCAAGUUUGAUUUUGCAUAAAGAAUUCCGGAUGGCGCAAAUUUUCACUAGUAGAUCAAUGAAUUCUUACCCAGGAAGAACCUGUCGAGGUAAACACACUUUGGAUUAUCCUGGCAUCAGCAGACUAUCAAAUAAAUUAGGGUUUGGAAGAGAUUAGGGCAAAGGGAUAAAAGUAAAAGCCAUAAAAAUAAUAUCAACACGUUUCAAUUGCGUAUGCCUCAAUCAACCAUAGCCCUUUCAUAUUUAUAGGGUCAUUAGGUCAUGCCCGAAUAAAAGUCAGAACUCAUAGAAAAGCGCAUUUAAAUUUAAAUUAAGUUGCAAUUCUACCUAAAUUUAUAUAUCAGAGUCUAUCUAGAAAGUUUUGGUUAAUCCAGACAAAUCAAACGGACAAAAGUAUGAUGGAGAGUGCGAUAUUGCUAGUCUAUUUUACAAGUAAACACACUAAGCAAUUGAAAUGAAGAACUUGCACAAAUGCGAGUGAUACUUAGUCUGCUAGCAAUUGAAAUGAAAAAUGUAUAUUUAAUUGCCACCUAAGCAACAGCCAAAGGAAACACAAAACGUUCUAAGUGUCAAUGGUGAUUUAUUUGUCUCUCUUGACUAUUAAUCUUAUGAGCUACGAAUAGCCGCGAACAAGUAAAAUAGAUGGAUAAAUACCUACGACGAAUACUUUC
rnacentral:lncRNA from 1 species